rnacentral:lncRNA from 1 species
AUCCAGCCUCAGACACUUAAUACUUACUAGCUGUGUGACCCUGGGCAAGUAACUUAACCCAGAUUGCCUCACCAAAAAGCAAAAAAAAAAAAAGAAUAGUAUCUUCUUCUGUGAGCUUUUCAUAAUUGGGAGAUUUUUUUCCCCUAUAUUUCUCUUCUCUCUCCUCCUAGCUCUUUCCCUGCAUCCUUUUGUGUCACUCUCUUUUCCUCUUUUUCUCUUGUUGUAUCUUUCCCUCUCUCUCCAUCUUGUUUCUUUCUCCUCUCUAUCCUUCUCUCUCUUUCUCUUGUCUUUCUUGUUCUUUCUCUCCUUCACUUUCUCUUUCACUCUGUCUCAAUAUUUCUGUCUCUCUCUGCCCCCUCCAUCCGUUGCCCUCCUUCCUCUCUUUCAUCCUUAUUCUCUCUCUAUAUACCAGUAUUUGUUUCCCUCUCUCUGUGUCUCAUUCUGUUUCAUUCUCUCUGAAUCUCUCACUUUCUCUCUCCUUCCCUUUCUCAUUCUCUGUCUUCCUCCCUGCUGCUCUUUCUGUCUUAUUAUUUACAUCUCCCUUUUCUUUCUGUCUCUUCCUCCCUCUCCAUCAUUCUGUCUCUCUCAUUUUCUUUCCUAUUCUCUUUCUCUCUAUCUCUAUUUCUCCCUCCCUCUCCCCUCUCCAUCCUUCUCUCCCUCUCCCUCUGCUCUUCUCUACCUGUCUCUUUCUUUCUAUAUCUGUCUGUCUUGCCAUCUAUCCUUUUCUCUUCCCCCUUAUUUUUGCCCCCCUCUCUCCCUCUAUUUUUGCCUUUCUCCAUAUCUACCUCCCUUUCUCAUUCUCUCUAUAGCUGUCUCUUUCAUGCUCUCACCCUCUAUCUUUCUCAGUUCUCUUUCUGCCUUUCUCUUUUGUCUCUCUUUCCCUCUCCAUCCUUCUCUCUUUCCUUUUCUGUCUCCUCCUUCAACCCUCCAUCUCUCACUUCUCUGUCUCUUCAUUAUUCUUUCUCUCUCUGAUGAGGAGAGGAUUUAGACCCCAAAAAGGAAACCCUGGAUUUUCCCACCUGGCCAAAUCUCUCAGCAUUCCUCUGAGGCUAUAACCCCAUCAACUGGCCUUUCAUUGUGGCUACACCCAAUCUCCCAAUUCUGUUACCCUUAACCUAAUCUAGCCCUCUAUUGUUUUACCUCCCAAUGGCCCCUGGCCUUUUCCCACACUUAAUCCUAGCUAGGCUCCAUUCUCCCCUGGCCAAGUGGUCCAGGUCCCAGGAGCUCAGUUCACCCCCAGUUUACUGGCCACUCCCAUUCAGAUCUUCCUUAGACCCCUCCUCUAGUCACUGCAAACUACUUGGCCACUCCUAGAUCCCUCCCACAGCCU